AACAUACUUACAUACAUACUCAUUAAAUUUCCAGAUCAAAAAAUGGUUUCCAAAAGAAAUGUAUUUAUAGCUGUUUUAUUAGUGAUAGUGCUUCUCACCUCGUCGGAAGUUGCAGCGAGAUCAAAGGAAUCUGAGAAGAUAGGUGAUGAAGUGAUAGGAACUGAUAACGAGUAUGAUUGUGGCUCCGAUUGUUGUGACAUUAAAGAUGCCUCAUAUUGCCAUUGCUGCGGUUAAUAACAUCAACAUCAACAUCAAUAUCCAACCAAUCCACGAUGAUAAUUUGCACUUCAUUAGAGUGGAGAUGUAAUGAUGAGUCAGUUAAUUUACAGUCCACGUCGCGAUAUGGUGAUGAUAGCAUGUGUAUGUGUUGUCGUUACAAAAACACAAUUUUGAAAUUCAAAGAAUGGUUUAUGAAUUUCAAGUAAGGAGUCAUAGGAUCAAGAUCAACUCAUUUUCACCCCAACUCAAGAUAAAUGAUAGUACUAUCAUGGAAUACUUAUGUGAUACUAUUUCUCUUGGUUUUUCUAUUUUCUACUCAUAUGUGAUUUAAAAUGAACAAUGGGCUAUUUAUUUGUUUUGCAAA